UGGGCCGCAGCUUCACAACUCCUUGCUUCAGCUGAUUAGCAGCAAGAGAAAAUGUGUUGAAAUGUUGACAGAGUAAUUCAGGAAAAUGUCCUCAGCAGUGGUGGGACUAACAUAGAGAGGGCCCUGAUGCAAGAAUGUAUUUUGGGACUCCUCCCUCCCCUUAGCAAGUCCACAGAUGGGUGGAUAAAAUAUACAUUCCCAUCGUUGUACAAAUCCCAUAAUGUUUUGGCAGCUGGGAAUCUACCAUUUGCCCAUCCUUGCAGGGUUGUAUUUUGCACUGAGCCGUGCUAUGUGUUUGAAUGCAAGUUGUUUUUCUGAGUAUGUGUGUG